rnacentral:piRNA from 1 species
UGUUAUGGUGGUUGACUAGCCUCACAAU